rnacentral:rRNA from 1 species
AUGGAGUGGGACAGCGACUCGGACGGCAGCGGGGAGGAGGACGAGGAGGAGGAGGAGGGGGAGGAGGGGGCCGGGCCGUGGGGCGCGGAUGGGUGCCGGGGCGGCGGCGGGUUCUCGCUGGCGAUCGAGGGCGUGCUCGGCGGCGCCUGCGGGCUCGUCGUGUCCGACGCGCUCGAGCCCGACUUCCCCAUCAUCUACGUCAACCGCGGCUUCGAGGACGCCACCGGGUACCACGCCGAGGAGGUGCUCGGCAGGAACUGCCGGUUUUUGCAAUGCAGAGGACCAUUUGCUCAGAGGAGACAUCCCCUUGUUGAUGCUAUAGUAGUUACUGAGAUUCAGAGAUGCUUAGAAGAAGGAACUGAGUUCCAGGGUGAUCUGCUGAAUUUUAGGAAAGAUGGUUCUCCAUUUAUGACGAGUCUGCAACUAAAGCCCAUAUAUGGAGAUGACGAAACAAUAACCCAUUAUAUGGGCAUUCAGUUCUUCAACGAUUGUAAUGUUGAUUUGGGGCCUUUGCCUGGCUCUAUGGCAAAGGAAGUUGUGAGAUCAGUAUGGAUUACACCAGAUAAUACUCUACGGCCAAGUCCAACAGGGAAGGGUAACUUUUGCUCUGAGUAUUCUCAUCUCUUCCAACUGAGCGAUGAGGUACUGUGCCAGAAGAUCCUAUCAAGAUUGUCACCUAGGGAUAUAGCAUCUGUAAACUCUGUAUGUAAACGUUUGUAUCACAUGACAAAGAAUGAUCACCUUUGGAGAAUGGUUUGUCAGAAUGCAUGGGGCAACGACGCAACUCGGGCUCUUGAGAAUGUGGCUGGCACAAAAAGUUUGGCAUGGGGACGGCUAGCGAGGGAGUUGACUACACUGGAAGCCGUCACCUGGAAGAAAUUGACGAUCGGGGGUUCAGUGGAGCCAUCUCGCUGUAACUUCAGUGCUUGUGCUGUAGGAAACCGUGUUGUCCUGUUUGGUGGGGAAGGUGUUAACGCACAGCCGAUGAAUGAUACAUUUGUGCUGGAUUUGAGUGCGAGCAAGCCAGAGUGGAGGCACGUCAAUGUGGGGUUGGCUCCUCCUGGCCGCUGGGGCCAUACCCUGUCAUGCCUAAAUGGAUCGCUGUUGGUUCUGUUUGGUGGAUGUGGAGGCCAGGGCCUGCUCAAUGAUGUGUUUAUUCUGGAUUUGGAUGCAAAACAUCCUACAUGGCGUGAGAUUUUUGGCCUUACACCACCGGUUCCACGGUCAUGGCAUAGCUCUUGCACACUGGAUGGAUCGAAGCUGGUGGUUUCUGGUGGCUGUGCCGACUCUGGUGUGCUCCUCAGUGAUACUCAUCUUUUGGAUGUGACAAUGGAAAGGCCUGUUUGGAGGGAGAUACCUGCACCUUGGACUCCGCCUUCUAGGUUGGGGCACUCGCUCUCUGUCUACGAUGGCCGGAAAAUCCUGAUGUUUGGUGGCCUUGCCAAAAGCGGCCCUUUGCGACUCAGGUCUGGUGAUGUGUUCACAAUGGACUUGAGUGAUGCUGCGCCGUCCUGGCGGUGCAUCACCGGUAGCGGAAUGCCUGGAGCCUGCAACCCCGCUGGAGUUGGUCCGCCUCCUCGCCUUGACCAUGUUGCCGUGAGCCUUCCCGGAGGGAGAAUUAUGAUAUUUGGUGGCUCGGUAGCAGGUCUUCAUUCCGCUUCACAGCUCUACCUCUUAGAUCCGACCGAAGAGAAACCUACCUGGAGAAUACUGAACGUUCCAGGGCGACCUCCGAGGUUUGCAUGGGGACACAGUACGUGUGUCAUGGAAGGAUCAAAGGCAAUAGUUCUUGGAGGACAAACUGGAGAAGAGUGGACGCUGACUGAAAUACAUGAGCUCUCUUUGGCGAGCUCAUUAGUAUGA